rnacentral:rRNA from 1 species
UAGGGAAUCUUCGGCAAUGGGGGGAACCCUGACCGAGCAACGCCGCGUGAGUGAAGAAGGUUUUCGGAUCGUAAAGCUCUGUUGUUAAGGAAGAACGAGUGUGAGAAUGGAAAGUUCAUGCUGUGACGGUACUUAACCAGAAAGGGACGGCUAACUACGUGCCAGCAGCCGCGGUAAUACGUAGGUCCCGAGCGUUGUCCGGAUUUAUUGGGCGUAAAGCGAGCGCAGGCGGUUAGAAAAGUCUGAAGUGAAAGGCAGUGGCUCAACCAUUGUAGGCUUUGGAAACUGUUUAACUUGAGUGCAGAAGGGGAGAGUGGAAUUCCAUGUGUAGCGGGGAAAUGCGUAGAUAUAUGGAGGAACACCGGUGGCGAAAGCGGCUCUCUGGUCUGUAACUGACGCUGAGGCUCGAAAGCGUGGGGAGCGAACAGG